GACGAACGCUGGCGGCGUGCUUAACACAUGCAAGUCGAACGGAAAGGCCCUGCUUUUGUGGGGUGCUCGAGUGGCGAACGGGUGAGUAACACGUGAGUAACCUGCCCUUGACUUUGGGAUAACUUCAGGAAACUGGGGCUAAUACCGGAUAGGAGCUCCUGCUGCAUGGUGGGGGUUGGAAAGUUUCGGCGGUUGGGGAUGGACUCGCGGCGUAUCAGCUUGUUGGUGGGGUAGUGGCUUACCAAGGCUUUGACGGGUAGCCGGCCUGAGAGGAUGACCGGCCACAUUGGGACUGAGAUACGGCCCAGACUCCUACGGGAGGCAGCAGUGGGGAAUAUUGCACAAUGGGCGGAAGCCUGAUGCAGCAACGCCGCGUGCGGGAUGACGGCCUUCGGGUUGUAAACCGCUUUCGCCUGUGACGAAGCGUGAGUGACGGUAAUGGGUAAAGAAGCACCGGCUAACUACGUG
rnacentral:rRNA from 1 species